GCAGGCUUAACACAUGCAAGUCGAGCGGUAACAGGAGAAGCUUGCUUCUCGCUGACGAGCGGCGGACGGGUGAGUAAUACUUAGGAAUCUACCUAGUAGUGGGGGAUAGCUCGGGGAAACUCGAAUUAAUACCGCAUACGACCUACGGGAGAAAGGGGGCAACUUGUUGCUCUCGCUAUUAGAUGAGCCUAAGUCGGAUUAGCUAGAUGGUGGGGUAAAGGCCUACCAUGGCGACGAUCUGUAGCUGGUCUGAGAGGAUGAUCAGCCACACCGGGACUGAGACACGGCCCGGACUCCUACGGGAGGCAGCAGUGGGGAAUAUUGGACAAUGGGGGCAACCCUGAUCCAGCCAUGCCGCGUGUGUGAAGAAGGCCUUUUGGUUGUAAAGCACUUUGAGCAUGGAAGAAGACUCCAUGGUUAAUGCCCAUGGACGAUGACAUUAGCUGCAGAAUAAGCACCGGCUAACUCUGUGCCAGCAGCCGCGGUAAUACAGAGGGUGCAAGCGUUAAUCGGAAUUACUGGGCGUAAAGCGAGCGUAGGUGGCUUGAUAAGUCAGAUGUGAAAGCCCCGGGCUUAACCUGGGAACGGCAUCUGAUACUGUUAGGCUAGAGUAGGUGAGAGGAAGGUAGAAUUCCAGGUGUAGCGGUGAAAUGCGUAGAGAUCUGGAGGAAUACCGAUGGCGAAGGCAGCCUUCUGGCAUCAUACUGACACUGAGGUUCGAAAGCGUGGGUAGCAAACAGGAUUAGAUACCCUGGUAGUCCACGCCGUAAACGAUGUCUACUAGUCGUUGGGUCCCUUGAGGACUUAGUGACGCAGCUAACGCAAUAAGUAGACCGCCUGGGGAGUACGGCC
rnacentral:rRNA from 1 species